rnacentral:piRNA from 1 species
UGCUUUCAACAUUUUUCACAU